CCCCCUCCAUCCAGCUCUGGGGUAAAAAAUGCCCCUGGGGGGGGGCGGAUUUGCCCCCCCACUAAUUGCCUCCUCCUGCACUAAUUCCUCCCCUGGACUAGGACUAAUUGCCCCCCACCGAGGUGACCCCACCUCAUGGAGGAGGCGAUUUCUGCCUCUUCAAGCCCAGUGUUGCCUAUAAUAAACGGAAAGGGGUAACUCGAUGGAAAUUUGACCUGAAAAAAAACAGUACUCAUUUUAGUUUCAGUGUUCUGUAUACGUGCUCGUCUUCCGUCGUCGAGGCGUCUGACUUCUGUCAACCACUGUCGGCCUUUAAGUAAUUGCGAUAAAGGAUGAAGAUCGUCGUCAGUGAUUCCACGUAAGGUCCCAAUCCGUUGCAAGUCACCCACGAGAUGCUGAACAUCACGCAGCGUAUUUAUUUGUGGAUGAACGACAGAAAGCGUAACUUCCAGCCCCGAAUGUCUCCAUGGGUUUAUUUUGCUGAAUUUUCUCCGGGGCGAUAACUCAUCCAUAGUCACACAAAGCACCGUUGAUGGUGUAUCGAUCGGAUAAAGUCACACAACGCAUUCCUUUAAACCUUCAUCCCCAUGUUCUGGCGCUAAUAAGAAGAGGUCGGUGGCUGCACGACUCGGAAGCGUAGCACGUCUCACCGAGUUAAUAUCUAUCACGAGCUCAGAAAUCAAAUAUGAGGUUCAGAAAUUAAAAGUGAAGGUGAAGGCAGACGUCGGCGAGCCGAAGGGCAGAGCGCUUGGCGUGGAGAGCGCAGAGCCCCCAGAGCUCGAGCUGCGCCCGCAGAUGAGCCUCACAGCCCUUGCGCAGAGCCACCAUGGCCGCCGGCUCCAGGCUGAGACCUCCCGGGAGGAUGGAAAAACCGCGCAGCAGCCCCCGAAACGAAGAUAUCGGGAGGAACGCGGGGGUUCUUCGCCGGCGGAAACGGAGGUUUUGCCAUAACGCACGAGGCCGGAGAAGCAGCAUUUUCAGGAAGGUUUAGGGCUACAGAAGCAGCGUCUUCAGGGAGGUUUGAGGCCGGAGAAGCCGCGUUUUCAGGGAAGGUUGAGGCCACAGAAACCCCUUUUUAAGGGGAUUUGGGGCCGAAGAAGGAUCGGGUUUGGGGGGCUUUUUAGCUGC